rnacentral:rRNA from 1 species
GACGAACGCUGGCGGCGUGCUUAACACAUGCAAGUCGAACGGAAAGGCCCUGCUUUUGUGGGGUGCUCGAAUGGCGAACGGGUGAGUAACACGUGAGUAACCUGCCCUUGGCUUUGGGAUAACUUCAGGAAACUGGGGCUAAUACCGGAUAGGAGCUCCUGCUGCAUGGUGGGGGUUGGAAAGUUUCGGCGGUUGGGGAUGGACUCGCGGCUUAUCAGCUUGUUGGUGGGGUAGUGGCUUACCAAGGCUUUGACGGGUAGCCGGCCUGAGAGGGUGACCGGCCACAUUGGGACUGAGAUACGGCCCAGACUCCUACGGGAGGCAGCAGUGGGGAAUAUUGCACAAUGGGCGGAAGCCUGAUGCAGCAACGCCGCGUGCGGGAUGACGGCCUUCGGGUUGUAAACCGCUUUCGCCUGUGACGAAGCGUGAGUGACGGUAAUGGGUAAAGAAGCACCGGCUAACUACGUG